GACGUAGGGCGCGAGCGUUGUCCGGAUUUAUUGGGCGUAAAGAGCUCGUAGGCGGCUUGUCGCGUCGUCCGUGAAAACCCACAGCUCAACUGUGGGCUUGCGGUCGAUACGGGCAGGCUAGAGUUCGGUAGGGGAGACUGGAAUUCCUGGUGUAGCGGUGAAAUGCGCAGAUAUCAGGAGGAACACCGGUGGCGAAGGCGGGUCUCUGGGCCGAUACUGACGCUGAGACGCGAAAGCGUGGGGAGCAAACAGG
rnacentral:rRNA from 1 species